CACGUAGGGGGCAAGCGUUGUCCGGAUUUAUUGGGCGUAAAGAGCUCGUAGGUGGUUCGAUAAGUCGGGUGUGAAACCUCCAGGCUCAACCUGGAGACGCCACCCGAUACUGUCGUGACUAGAGUCCAGUAGGGGAGCGUGGAAUUCCUGGUGUAGCGGUGAAAUGCGUAGAUAUCAGGAGGAACACCGGUGGCGAAGGCGGCUAUCUGGACAGAAACUGACGCUGAGGCGCGAAAGCUAGGGGAGCAAACAGG
rnacentral:rRNA from 1 species